rnacentral:rRNA from 1 species
GUCGAACAGACCUAAUUUUUAAGUUACUGCACCAAAAAUUAAUUUUAAUCCAACAUCGAGGUCGCAAAAUCUUCUUUUAAUAAGAACUCUAAAGAAAAAUUACGCUGUUAUCCCUAAGGUAAUUUAUAUUAAAUUUAAUAACAUAGAUUUAAAAUUUAAAUAUCAUCAAUUAUAUAAUUAAAGAAUUUUAUUAAUCCUUAAGUCACCCCAACUAAAUAUUCCGAAAUUAAAAAAAAUUCUAUAAUAAAAUAAAAUCAAAAUAUUAAACUCUAUAGGGUCUUCUCGUCUUUUACAAAAAUUUAAGCUUUUUAACUUAAAAAUAAAAUUCAAUAAACAAUUAAAUAGAGACAGAAAUUUUCUUGUCCAAUCAUUCAUUCCAGCUUCUAAUUAAGAAACUAAUUAUUAUGCUACCUUUGCACAGUCAAAAUACUGCGGCAAUUUAAUUAAUCAUUGAGCAGAUUAGACCUUAAAUUAAAUUCAAAAGGACAUGUUUUUAUAAACAGGCAGAAAAUUUUAUUUGCCGAGUUCCUUUAAUUAAUCUUACUAAUUUAAAAAUUAAACAAAUUAAUUUACUAAUUUUAUCAUUAUUUUAAAGUAAAAAAUAUUAAAAAAAUAAUUUUAAUAAAAAAUCUAAAAUAAAUAUAAAUCUUAAUUAAAAGAAUAUUAACUAUAAAAUUAUAUUAAAGACUAACAAUUUUAAUCUAACUAAUAAUCAAAACAAAUAAAUUUUUAAAAAUAUAUAUAAAAGCUUAUCCCCUUAUACAUAAAAUAUUUUAAAGUUUAAAAUAAACAAUUACAAAAAACCAAAAAAUAAUAAAAUUAAAUUUUUUUCUUAAAAAACUAGAUAUUUUAGAAAACGAAUAACAUCUCAUUUCUAAUUAGAAAUUUUAAAUCUUAAUUAAACAAGAAAAUCAACAACUAAUUAAAUCUUUCUAAAUCGAGAAACAUUAAAUAAAUAAUUUUUAUUAAAUAAACCCUGAUACAAAAGGACUUUAAAUUAAAAAUUCUUUUAAAAUUAAUUAUUAUAUUUCAAAAUUCACUCACGUUACUAGUAAACUAUAAUAAAAAUAAAUUUUUCAAUUUUAAUAAUAAACAAAAAAGUACUUUUUUUAAUAAAAAAUAAUAAUUCUUACCAAAUCAAAUAACAUUUCACAAAUGAACUUUUUAAUGUAAAUAAAAUACUUUUCUUAAGAUACUAUUUGUCUUUCUAGAUGCACUUUCCAGUACGUCUACUUUGUUACGACUUAUUCCACAUUAUUAGUGAAAGCGACGGGCAAUAUGUGCACAUUUUAGAACUUAAUCAAUUAAUUUAAGUAAAUUAAUUUACUCUCAAAUCCAAUUUAAUUAAUUAAUUUAAUAAUUAAAACCAGUAAUUAAUUAAAUGUAACCCAUUAAUCCCUUGCGCAUAAACUGUACCUUGAUCUGACAUUUUAUCUAAUUAGAUAAAUUAAAUAUUAAAAUUCAAUUAAAAUACUUAAUAAACGACGAUAUGCAAGCUAAAAACACAAGUCAAGCCUAUUGUGGACUAUCAAUUACGAAACAGGUUCCUCUGAACAGAUUAAAAUGCCGCCAAAUUUUUUUACUUUUAAUUAACAUA